rnacentral:rRNA from 1 species
GAUGAACGCUAGCUACAGGCUUAACACUUGCAAGUCGAGGGACCGGCGCACGGGUGAGUAACACGUAUCCACCCUGCCCUUUACUCGGGGAUAGCCUUUCGAAAGAAAGAUUAAUACCCGAUAUAAAGGAUGGGGAUGCGUUCCAUUAGGUUGUUGGUGAGGUACCGGCUCACCAAGCCUUCGAUGGAUAGGGGUUCUGAGUGGAAGGUCCCGCACAUAGGAACUGAGACACGUUCCAAACUCUUACGCGAGGCAGCAGUGAGGAAUAUUGGUAAAUGGGCGCUGGCCGGAACCAGACAAGUAGCGUGAAGGAUGAAGGCUUAGGGGUAGUAAACUUCUUUUAUAUAAGAAUAUGUAUUAGAUGAAUAAGGAUCGGCUAACUCCGUGCCAGCAGCCGCGGUAAUAC